UACGGAGGGUGCGAGCGUUGUCCGGAAUCACUGGGCGUAAAGGGCGCGUAGGUGGCCCGGUCAGUUCGUGGUGAAAGCGCGGGGCUCAACCCUGCGUCGGCCAUGAAUACUGCCGCGGCUGGAGCACUGUAGAGGCAGGCGGAAUUCCGGGUGUAGCGGUGGAAUGCGUAGAGAUCCGGAAGAACACCGGUGGCGAAGGCGGCCUGCUGGGCAGUUGCUGGACACUGAGGCGCGACAGCGUGGGGAGCAAACAGG
rnacentral:rRNA from 1 species